GCAAAAUUAGACACUCUAGUGGCUAUUAUUAAAUAACUAAUAAUUUGACCUAAGAGGAUCACACCUAUCCCAGCUAUGAAUCUGCUGGUUGUGAUUUGGUGCUUCACAGUAUUGUGUUCCUCCCUCCCUGUUUCUGAGGCGAAGAAACGGGUCAAACGCUCAGAUGAUAGUGAUGAGAUGUAUUACAUGCAGCCUCAGUUCCAGCCAUUUCCUGUACCCAUUCCAGUGCCAUUCCCAGGGCCUUUUGUUUUCCCAUUUGCCAUCCCGCCAGUUCCUCCACAGGUCAUCCCUCCACCUUUCAUCUUUCCACCUGUCAUCCCUCCAAUCGGAAAAUGAGACUGGCUGACUGGGAAAACCUGACUUUCGUGUACACUAACUCUAAAUAUUGUCUAGCUAAAAUGUCAAAAAUAAAUAAAGUAAUGUGUGAAUAAGUGAUUGACUUCCAUGUGUUUUGUUCAUCUCUUGUGAUCUCACGUCGUGCUACAACUACUACUGUAGCUAAUACUACAGUUGCUAGAACAGCAUUGAAUGACAGAUUUUUUUUUUUUACGUAAGCUUUGUUUUGCAUCAGUCAACUGUUUCUUUCUCUUUUAAAAUUCGAAUGAUGUUGUCUUAAACACUUUCAUACUCAUCAAUGUAGUACAAUUAAACAUGUGGAUCAAAAUCACUGUAUUCUCUGAAGUAUCUGCUAAAUA